UACGUAGGGUGCGAGCGUUAAUCGGAUUUACUGGGCGUAAAGCGUGCGCAGGCGGCCCGUUAAGACAGGUGUGAAAUCCCUGGGCUCAACCUAGGAAUUGCACUUGUGACUGGAGGGCUCGAGUACGGUAGAGGGGGGUGGAAUUCCUGGUGUAGCAGUGAAAUGCGUAGAGAUCAGGAGGAACACCGAUGGCGAAGGCAGCCCCCUGGGCCUGUACUCACGCUCAUGCACGAAAGCGUGGGGAGCAAACAGG
rnacentral:rRNA from 1 species